rnacentral:rRNA from 1 species
CACCGCGGUUAUACGAGAGGCCCAAGUUGACAGACAACGGCGUAAAGGGUGGUUAGGAGUACAAAUUAAACUAAAGCUAAACGCUUUCAAGGCUGUUAUACGUGCCCGAAAGUAUGAGACCCAAUUACGAAAGUAGCUUUACCUAGUCUGAAUCCACGAAAGCUAAGAAACAAACUGGGAUUAGAUACCCCACUAUGCUUAGCCCUAAACAUCGAUUGUAUUAUACAUUUUACAUCCGCCCGGGAAUUAUGAACACUAGUUUAAAACCCAAAGGACUUGGCGGUGCUUAACAUCCACCUAGAGGAGCCUGUUCUAGAACCGAUAACCCCCGUUAAACCUCACCCUCCCUUGCCUUACCCGCCUAUAUACCACCGUCGUCAGCCUACCCUGUGAAGGAUCAAUAGCAAGCACAAUUGGCAAAGCCCAAAACGUCAGGUCGAGGUGUAGUGAAUGAGAGGGGAAGAAAUGGGCUACAUUUGCUAGAUAUAGCAAAUACGAAUGAUGCAUUGAAACAUGCAACUGAAGGAGGAUUUAGUAGUAAGCAGGAAAUAGAGCGUUCCGCUGAAAUUGGCCCUAAAGCGCGC